CCCCUUUGCAAUCGGGGAAAAGGCGCCUAUAUUCGUCAUGUCUCUUCGGAGGCUAUGGACAUAAACGCGCUCGUAAUAAGCGGAUCGGACCCGGGGGCGGUACCCGGCGGCUCCACCAAUCAUCCUUCGUUUGAGGAUCACGGGGCCGAAACAGGAUCGACGGACGUCUAAAGGGGUUAGCUUUGUCUCGGCUGUCUGCCACCGUUACCGGCGAAAAAAGUACAAUUGCAAACGACAAUCGUGCUCCGGUUGCAGUUGCUGCGUAAGCAGUAGCAAGACCGAAACUUCAAGCCCUGUCCUCUAGCAAGGUCAGGCGGGGUUCGCAGGCACCUGGCAACAGAAGCCUGCACU
rnacentral:tmRNA from 1 species